UACGGAGGGUGCAAGCGUUGUCCGGAUUUAUUGGGUUUAAAGGGUGCGUAGGCGGGCGAUUAAGUCGGUGGUGAAAGCCGACAGCUCAACUGUCGAAUUGCCAUUGAUACUGGUUGUCUUGAGUGUAGUUGAGGCAGGCGGAAUUUACGAUGUAGCGGUGAAAUGCAUAGAUAUCGUAAAGAACACCUAUAGCGAAGGCAGCUUGCUAAGCUACUACUGACGCUGAGGCACGAAAGCAUGGGGAGCGAACAGG
rnacentral:misc_RNA from 1 species